rnacentral:tRNA from 1 species
GUUUUAAUAAUUUAAUAAAAAUAUUGGUCUUGUAAACCAAAUUUAAGAGUAACUUUUAAAACU